UAUAGGUUGUAGGGAACGUGAAAGGGACCGACCCUUCGGGAACCUAUACAGGUGUUGCAUGGCUGUCGUCAGCUCGUGUCGUGAGAUGUUCGGUUAAGUCCGCUAACGAGCGCAACCCUCGUCGUAUGUUAUAUGUGUCAUACGAGACUGCCGGUAAAAAGCCGGAGGAAGGUGAGGAUGAUGUCAAGCCAGCAUGACCUUUAUAUCCAGGGCUACACACACGCUACAAUGGUCUGUACAAUGGGUAGCCAAGCCGCGAGGCGGAGCCAAUCCUGAAAGCAGGCCUCAGUUCAGAUUGCAGUCUGCAACUCGACUGCAUGAAGCCGGAGUUGCUAGUAACCGCAGGUCAGCAAUACUGCGGUGAAUACGUUCCCGGGUCUU
rnacentral:rRNA from 1 species